rnacentral:rRNA from 1 species
UGCGGUUAAAAAGUUCGUAGUUGGAUUUCUGUGAAGGAUAACCGGUCCGCACUAUGUGCGUGUAUCUGUUUGUCCUUUGCAUCCUCGCGGAAUACGUCACUGUGCUUCACUGCAUGGGGCGGGCUUCGCGACUUUUACUUUGAGGAAAUUAGAGUGUUCACGGCAGGCUCACGCCAUGAAUAUAUUAGCAUGGAAUAAUAAUAUAGGACCUUGGUUCUAUUUUGUUGGUUUCUAGGGCUAAGGUAAUGAUUAAUAGGGACAAUUGGGGGCAUUCGUAUUAACGCGUCAGAGGUGGAAUUCUUGGAUUGCGUUACGACGAACUACUGCGAAAGCAUUUGCCAAGGAUGUUUUCAUUGAUCAAGAGCGAAAGUAAGGGGAUCGAAGACGAUUAGAUACCGUCGUAGUCUUUACCAUAAACUAUGCCAACUAGAGAUGGGGCGUUGUUAUUCUUUGACAUGCUCUGCACCUUAUGAGAAAUCAAAGUCUUUGGGUUCCGGGGGGAGUAUGGUCGCAAGUCUGAAACUUAAAGGAAUUGACGGAAAGGCACCACCAGGAGUGGAGCCUGCGGCUUAGUUUGACUCAACAC